rnacentral:lncRNA from 1 species
CCUGCUGCUCUCGCGGGGGCUUUUCGUGUGUCCCCCGAGAUGUCGAGGAAGCCAGAGUCCAGCUCUCCCACGGGUGGCUGUGAUCCUUCUUCCUGGGGAGUCCUGCUGUCCCUGACUAGGGGCACCUGCCCACCUGUCAGCUGCUCCUCCCUCGGCUGGUCCUCCUGGGCUCUGAUGGCCCCAACAUUUCUAGCUCUUCUCACCCAUAGUGCCCCGAGCUUCAUGCAGCUGCAGCAGCAUGAACAGACUGAGAUAGCGGCUUACAUGUAACCGGAAGCUGCAGAAAAACAUCUUCAGACAGCUGAGACGGCUCCCAGGACUCAUGCCUGGCACAGACACCAUCUGCCUGGCAGGGCAAAGAAAGGCGUCUAUGAGUGUGGGAGGAUUCCGAGUCUAACACCCUGAGCCCAGCCAGGAAGGGGCCAGGAAGGCCUCCUCGUGAACAACGAAUGAAACAGAACCCAGAUCUCAGACAGGGCGGGGAAGGGGAGGGGUACCAUGUCAAGCAGCACUCUGUGAAAUGCUGCUGCAAGGAAUUCAUCCGUAGGCUAGCACUACAACCUGGAGGCAGGGAGCAGUGAGGAGUGGAAAUCUUCCCAUCAGAAGUGAAGAAGGCUGGAUACGGUGGCUCACACCAGUAAUCCCAGCACUUUGGGAGGCAAAGGCAGGAGGAUCACUUGAGCCCAGGAGUUUGAGACCAGCCUAGGCAACUUAGCAAGACCUUGUCUUCAAAAAAAAAAAAAAAUUUUACAAGGAACUACACAGAUGGCAAAACUUAAAAAAAAAAAAAAAGUGGGAAGAGGGGAGAAAGGGAGAUCAAUGUCUUCUACAGAUUUCAUCUUGUCGGGUGGAGAGUGUGAGGAGUAGAGCCAUGUGGUGGGAAACUGUUGGUGUCUUGUUUGCGAAUGACUUUGGAACAAAGACCACCUGAUAAGCACAGUUAAGGAAUGAAAACACACAGGGACUUCCCAGGGAGCCAGGAGGACACUGGGGGAGCAUGAACACCUGCCUUUCCCAUGGGGCCCUGGUGUGCCCAGCCCCCCACUUCAUGUCUGACCCACGUGCUCUCUGGCUGACCUCCUGGGACUCGCACCCGGCCCCCACUUGGUAUCUGAGCCAUGUACUUCCCGGCUGACCUCCCGCAACGUGAAGACUACUCUCGCUCCCUUCAAGGCCACUGUCCCCACCGCAGCCAGAGAGGUGUUUUAUAGUUCAAAUCCUGCCCAGGCACCAUCUUGCCUAAAGGCAGCCCUGAGCCGGAAUCUGUGUGCUUUGCUGAUGGGACUGUAAAAUGGCGCAGUCACUUUUGAAACAGUCUGACAGUUCCUCAAAAGCUUAAACAUAGACUUACCACAUACCCAGCAAUUCCACGCCCAGGCUCUGCCCCAGGAGAAUUGAAAACAUCUAUCCACACGGAAACUUGUACACAAAUGUUCACAGUUGCACUAUUUAUCAUCAUCAGGAUGCCUAUAAUUGAUGAACAGAUGAACAAAUUGUGCUAUAUCCAUAUAAUUAAAUAUUAUUCAGUCAUAAGAAUGAGGCCGGGUGUGGUAGCUCACGCCUGUAAUUGUUUUACUUUGGGAGGCCGAGGAGGGCAGAUCACAAGGUCAGGAGAUCGAGACCAUCCUGGUUAACACGGUGAAACCCCGUCUCUACUAAAAAUACAAAAAGAAAUUAGCCGGGCGUGGCAGCGGGCACCUGUAGUCCCAGCUACUCGGGAGGCUGAGGCAGGAGAAUGGCAUGAACCCAGGAGGCGGAGCUUGCAGUGAGCUGAGAUUGCGCCACUGCACUCCAGCCUGGACGACAGAACGAGACUCCGUCUGAAAAAAAAAAAAAAAAGCAAGCACAUGAUGCUCAGCAGCAGCAGAAGCAAGUCUCAAAAGACCAUAUACUGUGUGAGUCCAUUUACACGGGAUGUGCAAAAUAGGCAGAUUCAUCAACAGAGACCUUGGAUCGGCGGUCCUCAGGGGCUGGGUGGGAUGUGGGGAGUGACUGCUAAUCGGGAGGGGGUUUCCUUCCCUUUCGAGACGGUGAAAAUGUUUCAGAACUAGGCAGAGGUGAGGGUUACAUAAUAUUGCGAAUAUACUAAAAUUAACUGAAUUGUACACUUUUAAAUAGUUAAAAUGAUGAAUUUUGUUAUGUGAAUUUUGCCUACAU